AUGUGCGGCCUCAGCCGAGCACAGGCGCUGAAGGCCUCCACGAAGCUCUCCCACCUUAGAUCCCCCUCCAAGCCAGACGUCGUCCUCGCCUUCCUCGCUGGCCUCGGCCUCUCCACGGCCGACAUCGCCGCCGCUGUUGCUAGGGACCCGCAACUCCUCUGCACCGGCGUGGAGAGGACCCUGUCCCCCAUCGUAGACGGGCUCACCGGCCUCGGUCUGAGAUCGCGCGCCUCGCCCCGCUCUGCACGAACCAUUUCCGAUGCAAAUCCGUCAUCUCCAAGCCUCGAGAGGGUGGUCAAGCCAAAUGUGGCGUUACUGCAGGAGUGCCCGCUAGGUGCUUGCGAUAUUGGCAGGGUGUGCACCACUAUGCCAAGGAUGCUCACCGCCAGCAUGGAACAAAUACGGGCAGUGGCGGCGUUUACCGACGGUCUUUGUGUGCCCGUUGGCUCCGUGAUGUUUAGGAAAAUUCUGUUGUCUGUUGCAUUGCUCAGCGAGGAGAAGAUUGCCGCCAAAGUGAAGUACUUGAAGAGCACCUUCAGCUGGUCGGAUGCUGAGGUGGGCAUUGCUUUGUCCAAGGUUCUGUCUGCUGAGCAGGUCAAAGAACAUGCUGCAGCGCAGAUCCGAGUUCCUUCUCUCUGA
rnacentral:rRNA from 1 species